rnacentral:rRNA from 1 species
CCUACGGGUGGCAGCAGUCGGGAAUAUUGGGCAAUGGAGGAAACUCUGACCCAGCAAUACCGCGUGAAGGAUGAAGGUUUUCGGAUUGUAAACUUCUGUUAUAAAGGAAGAAAAAAAUGACGGUACUGUAUAAGUAAGCUUCGGCUAAAUAUGGGCCAGCAGCCGCGGCGAUACAUAGGGGGCAAGCGUUGUCCGGAAUGACUGGGUGUAAAGGGUGUGUAGGUGGCUGAUUAAGAUAGAGGUGAAAGCCCGAGGCUCAACUUCGGAACUGCCUUUAAAACUGGUUGGCUUGAGUGUGGGAGAGGUUAGUGGAACUCCUAGUGUAGCGGUGAAAUGCGUAGAUAUUAGGAAGAACAUCAGGGGCGAAGGCGACUAACUGGAACAUAACUGACACUGAAGCACGAAAGCGUGGGUAUCGAACAGGAUUAGAUACCCCAGUAGUC